rnacentral:rRNA from 1 species
GAUGAACGCUAGCUACAGGCUUAACACAUGCAAGUCGAGGGGCAGCAUGAACAUAGCUUGCUAUGUUUGAUGGCGACCGGCGCACGGGUGCGUAACACGUAUCCAAUCUGCCCGUUACUCGGGGAUAGCCUUCUGAAAGGAAGAUUAAUACCCGAUAGUAUCCAUUAGCGGCAUCGCCUAUGGAUUAAAGAUUUAUCGGUAACGGAUGAGGAUGCGUACGAUUAGCUGGUUGGCGGGGUAACGGCCCACCAAGGCGACGAUCGUUAGGGGUUCUGAGAGGAAGGUCCCCCACACUGGAACUGAGACACGGUCCAGACUCCUACGGGAGGCAGCAGUAAGGAAUAUUGGGCAAUGGAGGCAACUCUGACCCAGCCAUGCCGCGUGAAGGAUGGAGGCCCUACGGGUCGUAAACUUCUUUGUCAGGGAAUAAAACCUCCCACGUGUGGGAGCUUGUAUGUACUAUAUGAAUAAGCAUCGGCUAACUCCGUGCCAGCAG